UCCUAACUUUCUUUUAGUUGCAGAAGGAUAAAUCCAGGGCAGAGCCCCCCAUUCUGGGUGAGGGGAUUCCCCUGUGAAGGUCAGUCACUGUUUGUCUCUGCAGAGGAAGCAUAAAUUGUGGCUGCUGCAGCUCUGCUCUUUGUCUUUAUUUUUAGGAAGUCAAGGCAGAGAGCAGCUGUCAAGGCUGAGUGGGCAAGAUGGACUGCUUGCCAUCUAUCCUAGCCCAGCAUGCCCAUGCCAGGUGCUGUCGCUGCCCUAGGCAUGCCGGGGAAGAGAGGAGGGCAGGUGACUCGGAGUUUAGGCGGGCUGAUU